rnacentral:rRNA from 1 species
UACAGAGGGUGCAAGCGUUAAUCGGAAUUACUGGGCGUAAAGCGUGCGUAGACGGUUACAUAAGUCGGGUGUGAAAGCCCCGGGCUCAACCUGGGAAUGGCAUUUGGGACUGUAAGGCUGGAGUAUGGCAGAGGGGACUAGAAUUCCUGGUGUAGCAGUGAAAUGCGUAGAUAUCAGGAGGAAUACCGAUGGCGAAGGCAGCUCGCUGGGACGGUACUGACGCUAAGGCGCGAAAGCGUGGGGAGCGAACAGGA